CUUAGCUUCGGCUGGAUAUAUGCUAAAAUUGGAACGAUACAGAGAAGAUUCUCAUGGCCCCUGCGCAAAGGUGACACGAAAAUCGUGAAGCGUUCCACAUUUUU